rnacentral:tRNA from 1 species
ACGGGAGUAACUCAACUGGUAGAGUAGCGGUCUCCAAAACCGCCUGUUGGGGGUUCGAGUCCCUCCUCCCGUGCCA